rnacentral:tRNA from 1 species
GGGACAGUAGUGUAACGGCAGCAUUUUUCUCUUGCACAGAAAAGGAUGGGUUCGAAUCCCACUGUUUCC